rnacentral:rRNA from 1 species
UACGUAGGAUGCAAGCGUUAUCCGGAAUGAUUGGGCGUAAAGCGUCCGCAGGUGGCACUACAAGUCUGAUGUCAAAGGCUGGGGCUUAACCUCAGAAAGGCGGUGGAAACUGUAGAGCUAGAGAACGGUAGAGGCAGAGGGAAUUCCCAGUGUAGCGGUGAAAUGCGUAGAGAUUGGGAAGAACACCAGUGGCGAAGGCGGCUCACUGGACUAAUGUUGACGCUGAGGUGCGAAAGCGUGGGGAGCAAACAGG